UACGUAGGUGACAAGCGUUGUCCGGAUUUACUGGGCGUAAAGAGCGCGCAGGCGGUCGUUCAAGUCGAGUGUGAAAGCCCCCGGCUCAACUGGGGAGGGUCACUCGAUACUGAUCGACUUGAAGGCAGGAGAGGGAAGCGGAAUUCCCGGUGUAGUGGUGAAAUGCGUAGAUAUCGGGAGGAACACCAGUGGCGAAGGCGGCGACCUGGUCCGAUACGUGACGCUGAGGCGCGAAAGCGUGGGGAGCAAACAGG
rnacentral:rRNA from 1 species